UGAAGUCUGGAGGACUACAUUGACCACUUGUUCUGAUGCUGCGUUCUAGAAAACUCGGAAAUCUAACUCCUAAUAGAUAAAGUACAAUGAAGCACCGUGCAAAGUCAAGAGUUACGACUUGUGAACUAUAGGAAAAUCUAUCUACCCCGACUUCGUGAAGAAGCAGUUGUCUGACGUCAAACACACACCUGCCCUGUACGUCUCAGGCUGCGCUGCUGAGAGUUCAAAUGAAUUACACGUGGAAAUUCCCCACCGACUUUUGACUGGAACACGGCAUGAGUUGGCAGGCUACCAAAAAUAAU